GACGAACGCUGGCGGCGUGCUUAACACAUGCAAGUCGAACGGUAAGGCCCUUCGGGGUACACGAGUGGCGAACGGGUGAGUAACACGUGGGUGAUCUGCCCUGCACUUCGGGAUAAGCCUGGGAAACUGGGUCUAAUACCGGAUAGGACCACUGCCUGCAUGGGUGGUGGUGGAAAGCUUUUGCGGUGUGGGAUGGGCCCGCGGCCUAUCAGCUUGUUGGUGGGGUGAUGGCCUACCAAGGCGACGACGGGUAGCCGGCCUGAGAGGGUGACCGGCCACACUGGGACGGAGAUACGGCCCAGACUCCUACGGGAGGCAGCAGGGGGGAAUAUUGCACAAUGGGCGCAAGCCUGAUGCAGCGACGCCGCGUGAGGGAUGACGGCCUUCGGGUUGUAAACCUCUUUCAGCACCGACGAAGCGCAAGUGACGGUAGGUGCAGAAGAAGGACCGGCCAACUACGUGCCAGCAGCCGCGGUAA
rnacentral:rRNA from 1 species